rnacentral:lncRNA from 1 species
CCUAAUGUGAGUGAUCAGAUGUGUCUAGCUUUCCCUUUCUUGGAUUGACUGACUCUUAGCUGACCUCAGGAGCUGUGAUCAACUACGCUGACAGCGCAGGAGACAAAAGUCUGUGUAUCAUCUCCAGGAAGGGGAUCAAGGGACGGCUGAACAGACUUCCCGCUGCCGAUGUGGGUUACAUGGUGAUGACCACAGUCAAGAAAAGGCAAACCAGAGCUCAGAAAAAAGCACUCGAGUAUUAG